CGGCGUGUAGCGCAGGCUGGUAGCGCACUACAAUGGGGUUGUAGGGGUCGGAGGUUCGAAUCCUCUCACGCCGACCA
rnacentral:tRNA from 2 species